CCUACGGGAGGCAGCAGUGGGGGAUAUUGCACAAUGGGGGAAACCCUGAUGCAGCGACGCCGCGUGGGCGAAGAAGUAUUUCGGUAUGUAAAGCUCUAUCAGCAGGGGAGAAGACAUGACGGUACCUGAGUAAGAAGCACCGGCUAAAUACGUGCCAGCAGCCGCGGUAAUACGUAUGGUGCAAGCGUUAUCCGGAUUUACUGGGUGUAAAGGGAGCGCAGGCGGCACGGCAAGCCUGAUGUGAAAGCCCGAGGCCCAACCGCGGGACUGCAUUUGGAACUAUCGGGCUGGAGUGCCGGAGAGGUAGGCGGAAUUCCUGGUGUAGCGGUGAAAUGCGUAGAGAUUAGGAGGAACACCAGUUGCGAAGGCGGCCUAC
rnacentral:rRNA from 1 species